AUUGAACGCUGGCGGCAUGCCUUACACAUGCAAGUCGAACGGUAACAGGUCUUCGGAUGCUGACGAGUGGCGAACGGGUGAGUAAUACAUCGGAACGUGCCCGAGAGUGGGGGAUAACGAGGCGAAAGCUUUGCUAAUACCGCAUACGAUCUCAGGAUGAAAGCAGGGGACCGCAAGGCCUUGCGCUCACGGAGCGGCCGAUGGCAGAUUAGGUAGUUGGUGGGAUAAAAGCUUACCAAGCCGACGAUCUGUAGCUGGUCUGAGAGGACGACCAGCCACACUGGGACUGAGACACGGCCCAGACUCCUACGGGAGGCAGCAGUGGGGAAUUUUGGACAAUGGGCGCAAGCCUGAUCCAGCCAUGCCGCGUGCAGGAUGAAGGCCUUCGGGUUGUAAACUGCUUUUGUACGGAACGAAAAGACUCUGGUUAAUACCUGGGGUCCAUGACGGUACCGUAAGAAUAAGCACCGGCUAACUACGUGCCAGCAGCCGCCGCCGUAA
rnacentral:rRNA from 1 species